rnacentral:rRNA from 1 species
UGUGCCAGCAGCCGCGGUAAUACAGAGGGUGCGAGCGUUAAUCGGAUUUACUGGGCGUAAAGCGUGCGUAGGCGGCUUUUUAAGUCGGAUGUGAAAUCCCCGAGCUUAACUUGGGAAUUGCAUUCGAUACUGGGAAGCUAGAGUAUGGGAGAGGAUGGUAGAAUUCCAGGUGUAGCGGUGAAAUGCGUAGAGAUCUGGAGGAAUACCGAUGGCGAAGGCAGCCAUCUGGCCUAAUACUGACGCUGAGGUACGAAAGCAUGGGGAGCAAACAGGAUUAGAUACCCUGGUAGUCCAUGCCGUAAACGAUGUCUACUAGCCGUUGGGGCCUUUGAGGCUUUAGUGGCGCAGCUAACGCGAUAAGUAGACCGCCUGGGGAGUACGGUCGCAAGACUAAAACUCAAAUGAAUUGACGGGGGCCCGCACAAGCGGUGGAGCAUGUGGUUUAAUUCGAUGCAACGCGAAGAACCUUACCUGGCCUUGACAUACUAGAAACUUUCCAGAGAUGGAUUGGUGCCUUCGGGAAUCUAGAUACAGGUGCUGCAUGGCUGUCGUCAGCUCGUGUCGUGAGAUGUUGGGUUAAGUCCCGCAACGAGCGCAACCCUUUUCCUUACUUGCCAGCAUUUCGGAUGGGAACUUUAAGGAUACUGCCAGUGACAAACUGGAGGAAGGCGGGGACGACGUCAAGUCAUCAUGGCCCUUACGGCCAGGGCUACACACGUGCUACAAUGGUCGGUACAAAGGGUUGCUACACAGCGAUGUGAUGCUAAUCUCAAAAAGCCGAUCGUAGUCCGGAUUG